UACAGAGGGUGCAAGCGUUAAUCGGAAUUACUGGGCGUAAAGCGAGCGUAGGUGGCUUGAUAAGUCAGAUGUGAAAUCCCCGGGCUUAACCUGGGAACUGCAUCUGAUACUGUUGAGCUAGAGUAGGUGAGAGGGAAGUAGAAUUCCAGGUGUAGCGGUGAAAUGCGUAGAGAUCUGGAGGAAUACCGAUGGCGAAGGCAGCUUCCUGGCAUCAUACUGACACUGAGGCUCGAAAGCGUGGGUAGCAAA
rnacentral:rRNA from 1 species